rnacentral:rRNA from 1 species
AUUGAACGCUGGCGGCGUGCCUAACACAUGCAAGUCGAGCGGUAACAGGGUGUAGCAAUACAUGCUGACGAGCGGCGAACGGGUGAGUAAUGCUUUGGAAUCUUCCCAGUAGUGGGGAAUAACCAGUCGAAAGAUUGGCUAAUACCGCAUACGUCUGGUAAAGGGAAAGCGGGGGACUCGCCUCUUCUUCGGAAGAGAGGCCUCGCGCUAUUGGAUGAGCCAAAGCGGAUUAGCUAGUUGGUGGGGUAAUGGCCUACCAAGGCGACAAUCCGUAGCUGGUCUGAGAGGACGACCAGCCACACCGGAACUGAGACACGGUCCGGACU